UACGUAGGGUGCGAGCGUUACUCGGAAUUACUGGGCGUAAAGCGUGCGCAGGCGGUUUUGUAAGCCCGAUGUGAAAUCCCCGGGCUUAACCUGGGAAUGGCAUUUGGGACUGCAAGGCUAGAGUGUGGCAGAGGAGACUGGAAUUCCUGGUGUAGCAGUGAAAUGCGUAGAUAUCAGGAGGAAUACCGAUGGCGAAGGCAGGUCUCUGGGCUAACACUGACGCUCAUGCACGAAAGCGUGGGGAGCAAACAGG
rnacentral:rRNA from 1 species